GGUGACCCAGUGGCCCGCGGAGGUGCGCCGUCACGUCGGCGGCUCGGUCACCUUCUACUGCAGCGUGGGGUCGGACGGGGAGGAGGUGGCCGACUGCGUGCCCUACUGGUACGUCCCCGACCCGGAGUCUUCCCCGGCCGGUUCUGGAGGGUGUGGUUCGUCAGCACUGGGCCUGGUGUACUUUCUCUUCGCUCUGAACAGCGCGAUUCUCUUCUGGAUCUGCGCCGCAGUCUGCUUGGUGUUCUGGCGCAGGACGCCGAGCUGCCAAUCGGAACCGAGCGGCUUCUACGCCAAACCCCCGAAGACAGCGCGCUGUGGGAGUGGAACUUGAAAUAACCAUGUGGACAUGUUCCCCCCUCCUCCUCCUCAAAUAAUAAAAUCACUGUUCCCCUCUGCGCCUCAAACAACGUGGCUACACGAUCCACGACCCUCUCUGAAGUAAACUGUCCGAAUGUGGGACGAUGUUCAUUAAAUUGGCUCAUCAAUAACACCACAGCUGUCCAGGUGGUUUCCCAAAGCAAAGCAGUACACAGUCACACCAGAGCACACCCGCGACCUUGACCUGGACAAAUUGGUUUAAAAAUGGAUGGAUGUGUAUUGGACACCCCUUGUAUAAGGCCUGCUUACAGUAGGUACUUAUCGCCUGUGGACGAUGGUAAGAAAUAAAUAACUAAUACAUAUCCAUUGUUUCCAUAAUAAAGCCUAA
rnacentral:lncRNA from 1 species